UGUCUGUCUGUCUGUCUGUCUGUCUGUCUGUCUGUCUGUCUGUCAGGAGGUGUGUGGAUCCAGCUGAACCCAGUGAACGGGACCCGGAUCUCUUCGAUGUUUGCCGGUUCAGUGUCAGCGGUGAAGGUUUGAUUGGAACACACUUUCCAUUCAUCUCACUGCUGCGCUUCAUUGUGGUUGACAAUGGAGAUAUUAGACCUAUUUGAGCAACAUGUGGGGUCACUGUACCGCGCGUAUCAACCUCUAGAUGGCAGCAGAGACCAGGCCUCUCCCUCCGUAUCUCUCCCUCCGUCUCUCUCUCUCCGUGAGUGUGUGUGUGUCUGCAGGAGUGAGAGGACCGCGCAGGUCCAGCCUCUCCUCCCCAGAUGCUCGCGCUGCACUCGGGCUCCUCACCUCGCUGCUGCACGGACCUCUGCCUUCUCCUCCUCGUCCGACUCCCGCGGGACCAGCUGGACUGUUCUCCUCCUCUGCUCCUCAAAGCGCACAGCCGCGCGUUAGAGUGCACGGGCCGGGGCCGCGCGCCGCCUCUCUCUGCCGGAACACGCCUGGAGCCUCCUGACGGAUCAACUGUCUGCCAGCGAUGGACCGUGCCGCUGCCAUCAUGGUGGGCAGCAGGAUCCGGGUCAUCGGGGAUGAGCUGAACACUGCCAUUCAGAGGAGAGCCCUGGGUCCAGCUGCUGUCACCAUCCUGGAGCUGCUGCAGGAUGUUCCCCCCCUGGUGGCCGUAGGAUGCCUGUCCUUCGUGAUGGGAUGGUGCUUGUGUCGAGUGGUGAACGGCCGCUCCUAAGUCAAAGGGCUGAAGAACCCAGCAGUGGAGAGGAAAGUGUAGCUCAUGAAAAGUGAAAUGUAGCGCUCCACCCCCAUCCUGGUGGCUCCACUACACCAGAUCAAGCACUCUACACAUCCUUCUCACUCACCAACCACACCUUCUGCUUGCUCUACUUUCAGUGAUGUCACAACGUCACGUGCUUCACCGUGCUGCCAAGUGGUCACGUAGCUGUGACGUGUUCUCUCAGGUCUGACCUGCCCGUGUUGCUCCUCACUCCCAUGGCCUCAUGUAUAAAGUGGACUUCUGCAUCCCACACUGACGCGGAGGGCAGCCAUCAGCGUGUCAUGCGGACAUGUUCCGAGGCCAGGGUUGGCGUGAGACGUCAGAUGGGGUGGCGCUGCUUCCAUUCCAUUGCUAUUGAAAGCCCCCGCCUGUUUCGCAGUCACUGAGAUCCUCUGCAAAUAACCCUAGCCACGGGCAGGAGACGGUCCUGUACUCCACUGACACGCUGGAGCCGCCCUCGCCGUCAGUACAGGACGCAACAAUGUAUCGCGCCAUGGGAGUGAGGACGGGUCGAAUCCGGUGCUGGGAAAAUCACAUGGCUGGAUCCAUCAAGGUCCCGUGAUCGCGGUGGUUCUCACCUCACCCGUUUGUUUCUGUGCAGCGGUGCAGACUCUCGCCUCUCGUUUGAUCUGAUUUUGGAUUGGUCACCUCACCCGUUAAAGAAGAGUCAGAGUCAGCUGCUCGAUGGAUGACUGAUAUGUCUGAUACAGCCAGUCAGCCAUGUUUGUAGUCCUCGUCACUCUUUGUAAAACAGUGUUUUUCAAAUGAUCCAUUUUGUAAGUAUUAGCCAAGUAUCACUGGGCGAAACAGAGACAUUAUAUUUGUAUCCUAUAGCUGCAGGUCCAUGAAUGUUGAGAACAAAAGGUCCGUUAGGGACCGUAGAAAGUCAUCCCCACACAACAGUAGUGUUGAUCAAGCUGCCUGGAGGCGUGUUACUCUGCCAAGCUCAGUUAACGCGGGACCCUCCUCCCUCCAUUGUUUUUAAGCUCUGACGUGUGCGGUGUCAUUUCCUUCCAAGCUGUAAUGAGACCGUUUUUUUCCCUCAUGUUUGUCGCCUUAUUGUUGCCUCUUUGACUACACUGUAUGAUGACAUGUAUCGGCCUGUGAGCCGUUCCAGUAAAGCUGUGUCUGCGCCACUUCUGAUGAGUGCUUCAAUCAUUUUAAAACACGAGGAGAAGUUGAGUUGAGUUUUCUGGGUCUCUUCCUGUGCUCCCCCUCAGAGGAGCAUUGACCCGCGGGUCUGUCUGGCCUUGUGUCAUGUUGUUUAAUAAACAGCUAA